rnacentral:rRNA from 1 species
UACGUAGGGUGCAAGCGUUGUCCGGAAUUAUUGGGCGUAAAGAGCUCGUAGGCGGUUUGUCGCGUCUGCUGUGAAAACUCGGGGCUUAACCCCGGGCCUGCAGUGGGUACGGGCAGACUAGAGUGCGGUAGGGGAGACUGGAAUUCCUGGUGUAGCGGUGAAAUGCGCAGAUAUCAGGAGGAACACCGGUGGCGAAGGCGGGUCUCUGGGCCGUAACUGACGCUGAGGAGCGAAAGCUAGGGGAGCAAACAGG